rnacentral:tRNA from 1 species
CCCGCCGUAGCUUAUGUUAAAGCACUUGAUUCUUACUCACGGGAAGUCUUUUAGACUGGCAGGA